CGUUACUCAAAAAUGUGGAUUAGAACAACGUUUUUACGAAAUAACGAACUCUUUGUUAAAUGUUGAAUUGCAAGAGCUCUUAUUUGGGCAUGACGACUUUCUGUUUUGUAAAGCUGAUGGCUUACACUACGAAAUAAACAGUUAGCAUAGGCAUUUCAUCUCAUUAUCUAUUGUUUUUAAUGCGUUCGGCACACGAGUAGCGUGACGUUUGAAACAAGUCUAACACAUCAGAAACGUCGUGCCUCGUGGAACUGAUACAAUUUAUUUACUUAUUGUGAUGCUACACGCGACAACUCGAAA